GGAGAGUAGUGCCAGCAGAGAGCAUGUCCAGCUCUGUGCCUCAGCACAUCCAAGAAUCCAGGUUAAAGUCACCAGGUCAAAGUGCGCUUUCGUCUCCACGAUAUGCUAGUAAACCGAGUAUUAAGAGUACAGAGUCCAUAUCCAGGCAAUCUGAGAGAAUAUUGUCUGCAGAAAAUGUACUGGGCUCCCGUAAAAAGGAUUUUCUACAGCCUCCAGAAGCCAACAUGAGAUCAUCCAGCCAAACUGCUCUCUCUUCACCUCAAAUUGGUGAUAAACCAGUAACUAAGCAAGCAGAAUCAGUUGUACCGCAAAAUGAGAGGACAGGAGGCGCCGAAAGCAUUUCUGGUUUUUUCAACAUGAUACCUGAU
rnacentral:misc_RNA from 1 species